GCCCUGGGUGCGUCAUGCUAAGACGGUCAGGCUCUCUCCACACUAGAACCGGGAGGUUUUUUAAUCAGGGGAGAUGAGGGGAGAUGAUCAGAUGCGCUUAAUUAGAACUGUGGAAGAUGAAUUGGAAAGAGGAGGAAGGACUAGAAGGAGGGAGGCCCACUAGGAGUAUAGUAUUUUAAGACCUGAAUUAAGGUGAUGGAAGUGGGAAGGAAGAGCGAGAAGAUGGAAU